rnacentral:rRNA from 1 species
UACGUAGGGGGCGAGCGUUGUCCGGAGUUACUGGGCGUAAAGGGCGCGUAGGCGGCCUGUUAAGUCGAACGUGAAAUCCCCGGGCUCAACCCGGGAACUGCGUCCGAUACUGGCAGGCUUGAAUCCGGGAGAGGGAUGUGGAAUUCCAGGUGUAGCGGUGAAAUGCGUAGAUAUCUGGAGGAACACCGGUGGCGAAGGCGACAUCCUGGACCGGUAUUGACGCUGAGGCGCGAAAGCCAGGGGAGCAAACGGG